GUAUCAGUUGAUGAGAAAAUACUGCAACGAUAUGAUGAAGAAAUUCUUAAUGAUUUUUAGUAUUUGUAACAAUCAAACUAUGAUC
rfam:Arabidopsis thaliana chromosome 5, complete sequence.